AUUGAACGCUGGCGGCAUGCCUUACACAUGCAAGUCGAACGGCAGCAUGAUCUAGCUUGCUCGAUUGAUGGCGAGUGGCGAACGGGUGAGUAAUACAUCGGAACGUGCCCUGUAGUGGGGGAUAACUAGUCGAAAGAUUAGCUAAUACCGCAUACGACCUGAGGGUGAAAGUGGGGGACCGCAAGGCCUCAUGCUAUAGGAGCGGCCGACGUCUGAUUAGCUAGUUGGUGAGGUAAAGGCCCACCAAGGCGACGAUCAGUAGCUGGUCUGAGAGGACGAUCGGCCACACUGGGACGUGAACACGGCCCAGACUCCUACGGGAGGCAGCAGUGGGGAAUUUUGGACAAUGGGCGAAAGCCUGAUCCAGCAAUGCCGCGUGUGUGAAGAAGGCCUUCGGGUUGUAAAGCACUUUUGUCCGGAAAGAAAUGGCUCUGGUUAAUACCUGGGGUCGAUGACGGUACCGGAAGAAUAAGGACCGGCUAACUACGUG
rnacentral:rRNA from 1 species